GCCACCGCGCCUCAGUUCUUAGACACUCGUUAGUGGGAGAAAUGUUUAAAUAUAAUAUUUUAUUUUAACAGAUAACGAAACUUUUUUAAUAUUUCUAAAAUAGUUAUAGUAAUAUAAGUGCAUUCAGUAACAAUCAAAUUUCUAUUACUACAGAACAAGAUCUACAAAAAGCCCAAAGUGAUACUCGAAGUCCAGAGGAAGAACUUUACUUUGAUUUUCGGUCGUCUUAUGUCUAAUGAAUAUAUUUUCUUUCUUCUUUUAUCAAGAGCCAUCGAGAAGAACCACACAGAAAAAUUCUACACCUCAUUUAGUGCUCACUUUUUAUUGUAUAGGAUAUUUUUCACUGUUUGCUAAAAAUGUUCGACGAAUUCAGAAUUAUUUUUUUCUGAUGUACUUCAAAAAUAAGUAUUGUAAAUUAUUUAGACAGGAAGUUUAAAACUAAUGGUAAUAAGAUAAUAUUAGCUAGGAAAUUAGAAAAAUAAUAUUUAAAAGCACUUAAAAGAAAAGAAAAAAUUUCUUUUAAAGAAAUUUAAAUUAGGCGACUUCAAGAAUCAGCAUCAACUUCAUGGAAACACUUUUUUCAUCAAGAAUGAGGGAGGCAUGCUCUUUUUUUAAGAGGCAUCGGUGAGAGAACGAAAGCGGAACAGUGUGGCCCAAGAAGACAUCGAAUUGUGUUCGAAAUUUAACUGCAGAUCUGCGAAACGUGUAGUGCUUAGCUUUCGGUGUAGUAGAAUAUUUUUCGUCGACUGAUAUUUGUUGUCAAUUAUUUAGUUAGGAAUUUUCGAAACCAAAAAUAUGAUUAUAUUUUAGCUAGGCAAUUAUUAAAGUAAGUUCUUAGUUUUAAGGAAAAAAAAUUUUUAUUUCUCAAGAGACUUCAAGAUCCAGC